UACGUAGGGUGCGAGCGUUAAUCGGAAUUACUGGGCGUAAAGUGUGCGCAGGCGGCCGAGCAAGUCGAGUGUGAAAGCCCCGGGCUUAACUUGGGAAUUGCGCUCGAAACUACUUGGCUGGAGUGUGGCAGAGGAAGGUGGAAUUCCAGGUGUAGCGGUGAAAUGCGUAGAGAUCUGGAGGAAUACCUGAGGCGAAAGCGGCCAUCUGGCGAGACAUUGACGCUGAGGCGCGAAAGCGUGGGGAUCAAACAGG
rnacentral:rRNA from 1 species